rnacentral:lncRNA from 1 species
AGUCUCUAUUCAGAUCGCCCAACGCCAGCAAAAAUAGAGCCCAAUUAGUAGCUUCGGAGCCAUUCCCUCUUCUUCUAGUCGCAGUGUUCGAAGGUUUUGUAGCCAAUAGAUGCGUCCCCUGUUUUGGUUUUAGAUCACAAGUCCAACAGUUCAGGUAAGUUUUCUUGGACAUAAAUUUCAAUUUCUGUUUUUAUUUGCUUGGAUUUGUGUUGGGUAUUACAUUGGGACAAUGUAAUUUAAGUGUGGGGGAGGGAAUUUUGAGCUAGAAAAAUCAUUAAUAUGAAAUUUGGGUUCAAUUGCUAAUUGUUUUGGUUAAAUUUUGCUGGGUAUUGUAAUAAUCAGCAGCAAUUUUGUUGGGUCUUGUUAAAAUGUGAGUAAUUUGUUCUAAUAUUUGCUUGAAUUUGAUAUUGAUUUUGGGUAGCUAAAAUUCUGAUGAUUAGAUCUUAACUUAGAACAUCCCUUUGAAUUCAAUAGAAAAACCCUCUUAAUUAUUUAAGUAAAGUUAAUUUGGUAGCUAUUAUCUCUUGUCCAUUUAGAAUAAAUUAUUGAAUUUAGUUAUUCUUUUUGACAUAAUAUAUGAGGCUUGAAUGAAUCAUGGUUAAAUUUCUGAAUUGCUUGAUCAUAAUUCACAUCCAUUGCUUUUCCAAUUAUUGUAUAAAUAGCUUGUGUAUGGAGAUGAGUCUGUGUGUGUUUACUUUUGAAUUUAAGGUUACUAAAUCAAAAAAAAAANNNNNNNNNNNNNNNNNNNNNNAAGACUUGAGCAGUCGAGGUACUCCGCUGUCCGAGUUUGGGCAAAGAGUAGUGUUAGUAGCCACUUGAGUUUGUGACUCCAAGUACCCGCAAGCGGGUUACCAAUGAUGACACACUCAGGCAAUUGAUAAAUGUUCAAGCACAAAACAAAAAAAAAAAUAAAUAAAUAAAUAAAAGUUCAGCAUUAUUUGUUUUGUGUGUGAUUGCAAUGAUUUUCUGUGACCAAGCUGUUUAACAAAUAAUUCUUUAAGCAAUGGUUUAAUUGAUAUGGACUUUAAAUUGCAUGUUUAAAAUUACAAAGUUCAAGCCUAGUCUAUUAUGUUUGAAGGAAUAUAAAUUCAAUUCUUUACUCUCCAUAGAUUUCAGAUUUGAAUAUUCAACUCAGCUUUACUUUUGUAAUUAAGGUUGCUUUUCUAAAGAUGUUCUUAUAAGAGUUGUGAAGAGUUGGGUGAAUUUCCUUUUGUGUAGAUUGAGUUUUUCCUUGAGGACAAGCAAAUAUUAAGUGUGGGGGAAUUUGAUGGGUUUAUUAUUUGUGCNNN